rnacentral:lncRNA from 1 species
AAAGACCUAAAAGAAAAAUUAAUAUGGAUAGAAAAAACCUUAGAAAAUUUAGAUAAAAGUACAUGUGAUAGUUUAUAUAAUCUAAAAAACUCACUACGAGAAGAACAACACAAGAUAAUAAAUAACAUUGAAAAUCUAGAAUUAGAUAUACAUUAUAGCACAGAUAGGAUAAAUUAUUAUACAAGAAUUUGUAACUCUGCAAUUACAACAGGAUAAAAUA